UUUCAUAUGUUGCACCAUGUAGACAGGUGUCAGCCCGGUAGGUAGACAAACCAAAUUUCAUAUGUUGCACCAUGUAGACAGGUGUCAGCCCGGUAGGUAAACAAACCAAAUUUCAUAUGUUGCACCAUGUAGACAGGUGUCAGCCCGGUAGGUAGACAAACCAAAUUUCAUAUGUUGCACCAUGUAGACAGGUGUCAGCCCGGUAGGUAGACAAACCAAAUUUCAUAUGUUGCACCAUACCUAAAACUGUUUGUCUGCGAUCCAGUCGUAAACCCUCACAAUAAAGAAGUUGACAUCAAUACAAUUCUUGUCUGUAUGUGUAUCACUUCUAAAUGUCUUUCAAAGACGUCAUUUCCCUUGUUAAAAUCCACUUUUGUUAUCUCAUCGUUCAUCCAUGGAUAAUCCCUGGCUCCCACUUGUCCAUCCAAUUUAGCGCUAAUUAACAACUGGCUCCCCUUGCUAUCUUAUCACUGGUGUUGUUUCACAUGUACACAAUCUGUUUCCUAGUCUUCUAUUCACCCGAUGAAAGUGUAAGAAUAUACUCCGAAACGUCGUGUUCCACAAAUAAAGAAGUUGACAUCCAAA